UACGAAGGGGGCUAGCGUUGCUCGGAAUCACUGGGCGUAAAGGGUGCGUAGGCGGGUCUUUAAGUCAGGGGUGAAAUCCUGGAGCUCAACUCCAGAACUGCCUUUGAUACUGAGGAUCUUGAGUUCGGGAGAGGUGAGUGGAACUGCGAGUGUAGAGGUGAAAUUCGUAGAUAUUCGCAAGAACACCAGUGGCGAAGGCGGCUCACUGGCCCGAUACUGACGCUGAUGCGCGAAAGCGUGGGGAGCGAUCCGG
rnacentral:rRNA from 1 species